rnacentral:rRNA from 1 species
UACGUAGGGUGCGAGCGUUGUCCGGAUUUAUUGGGCGUAAAGAGCUCGUAGGCGGUUUGUCGCGUCGGCCGUGAAAUCUCCACGCUUAACGUGGAGCGUGCGGUCGAUACGGGCAGACUUGAGUUCGGUAGGGGAGACUGGAAUUCCUGGUGUAGCGGUGAAAUGCGCAGAUAUCAGGAGGAACACCGGUGGCGAAGGCGGGUCUCUGGGGCCGAUACUGACGCUGAGGAGCGAAAGCGUGGGGGAGCGAACAGG